CCGUGGUAGAAUUUUCUCACGGUAAGCCUCAUUUCCUGUGUUUCUCACUAGAGUUGAUUAUUAUUCUUGUUUUCUCCUUCUCUAAGACCAGGUCCCAGGAGAUGGACAUUAGAAGAACAGAGGAAGAUCUGAACUCAACUUAAAUGCCACGAAGCGAGGCGCUGUAAUCCAGGACUUCUGACCCGGAACAUCGGUAGAUGUCAAGAGUUCUGCAAGUAGAGGUCAGGUGGUCUAGAAGCUUGGCUAGGAAAAGAACCAUUCCUCUCUCCACCUCCUGAUGAAGUGGCCUUUUCCUUCAGCGAUGAAUGGAGGAAGCCGCAGUGACAGUGGCAAAACCUGUGGUUUUGUCACUGGUGAAAAAGUAAACAAGUCAACAAUGCCCGAGAUACUUUGGCAUUGUGCCUUCCACCUGUCUGUCUGUUUGUCUAUCUGUCUGUCUGUCUCUGUGUGUUUGUGUGUGUACGUGUACAUGGCAGACAUGGCAGAGCACACAAAUGAAAGGCCAGAGGAAAACCUGUACAUGUCACCUCUCUCCUUCCACCACAUGAGUCCCAGGCAUUGAAACUCAUGUCAUCCAGCAAGAACCUUUCUUUAGCCACUGAGCCAACUAGCCAGCCCCAGACAUAUUAUAAUUUAUAUUCAUUACUAAUUCAAAAUCAUGGCAUUUACAUUUAGAUUUAAAACUUUAAAUUAUACUUAUUCAUUCUACUUUACGUGUGGGUGUCCUGUGCAUGUAUGCCUGUGUAGCAUGUCUAUGCUUGGUGUCCUCAGAGGUCAGAAGGGGGGAUCUGAUUCCCUGGAACCAGAGGUGUAAGAGCUGAGAACUAAACCCUGGUCCCCUUCAAGAACAGCCAGAUUCUUAACAUCCGAGCCAUCUCCCCAAGUCCCCCAGAUUUUAUAUUUAGUGCCUUAAUAAAAAAGCAUAUUUACAGCUAUAUUGGACAUUUGUUUUUAAACAUUUAAAUGUACUUCAAUGUAAAUGACUCUCUUUGAAUUUCUAGGUGUUUUGGCUUAUGCAUUAAAAACACAUUUUUUUUUAAGAAAGUGUGCAGAGGGGCUGGAGAGAUGGCUCAGUGGUUAAGAGCACUGACUGCUCUUCCAGAGGUCCUGAGUUCAAUUCCCAGCAGCCACAUUGGUGGCUCACAACCAUCUGUAAUGGGAUCUGAUGCCCUCUUCUGGUGUGUCUGAAGACAGCUACAGUGUACUCAAUAUUAAUAUAUAUAUAUAUUAAAUAUGUAUAUUUAAUAUAUAUAUUAAAAUCUUAAAAGUAAAAAUAAAAUAAAGUGUCCAGAAGCCUCCCUGAGGAAGCAAAAAGAUACUCAGCACAACCUCAUGUCCCCUGGCUUUGCUGAUGUGGCUAAUUCUAGAGCUCACGACCCCACCAGCAGUAUCCACCCAUUUAUCUAAUAAUAAGUCCCAAGCACAUGGGCUCUGAGAAGAGCAGUCACAUGACCAGACUUGCGUGCUGGGGUGAAGUACACCAAUGGUCCUUAGUCCUUCCUCCACACUGUCCACCCCGUUAACAGCUAUAGUUCAAACUGGUCCUGGUCUAAUAUGCACAAGUCAGGGCUUCCCUCAGGACAGUGUUUUUGUUGUCUGUGAAGGAAUAUUUAUGAAUGGAAAAUUUUCCCUGGGUGGGCCAUCAGUUCCUCUCUUUCUCCCCUUUUUUAAAAAUUUAUUUGUGUGUGUGUGUGUGUGUGUGUGUGUGUGUGUGUGGUGUGUGUGUGUGUGUGUGUGUGUGUGGUGUGUGUGUGUGUGUGUGUGUGUGUGCAGGGGGGGGAAUGAAGCGCACACAUGGAGGUCAGAGGACAAUUUGUGACACUCAUCUCUCCUUCCACUGUGGGGGUUCUGAGGAUUGAACUCAGGUGGUCAGCCUUGGCAACGAAUGCCAGAAUUUACCCCCAAGUGAUCUCACUGGUCCCUGGUUUGUUUAUUUUUAAAUUCUUGCUUUUUUUUUUUGUGAUGGGGUCUCAUUUAACACACACUCUCUACAUAACUAAGGCUGGCCUUGAACUCCUGAUCUCACAUUCAGCUCUCUAAUUUGGGGAUUACAAGCUCGAUGCCACACCCAAGUUGUUCCUGGGGCUCUCUGUAUGUGCUGUUGUCACCCUCUAAAAAUGGUCUAGGUCUAAGAGUUCUCAGGAAUGUGGUCAUGGUGGGCUCUUUUUGGAAAGCAGAAUUUGAGCAGAUUUGUUUUAAAGAAGUGAUGGGGUCUACAGAAAAUCUGCUGGCAUGGUUGUAAACAAAGGGAAGGGCUUUGUGGCCAAAUACAUGAGACCUGGUCUGUUUCCUUGUUCGUAGAACCUCUUUCUUUUCCUGAAGGUGGCAGAGGGAAGUUGGCAGGCUACAUUUCCCUGCCUCCUACAGUUAGCGGAGCGUUGGGACUGUUUUCUGGUGCGUUACUCAAGUCUCCCUCUCCCCUCGUGAUUUCUUUAGGCAUGCUGGAUCAUCUAGGAUAAUCCCCAGUCUCCAAGCCAGCUGACUAGCAGUGUGAUUCCCCUCUGCCAUGUAAUCUUAUGACCUACCGGGGCCCAGGGAUUGUGACAAGGAUAUCUCUGAGGGGCUGUUCUUAGAGGCUGUGAAAGACAGAGAGAAAAGCAGAGUUUGCCAGUUCUCCAGCUGGCACAGGAGAUGCGAGUGCCCUGCUCUGUAACCCACACGUCUCCAUCUUGAUGCAUUUUGUUUAUACUUUUGUUUUGUGAGGGUUUUGCACAGAGUAUCUCCCUAUAGCUUGGUUGGCCUGGAGCUCCUUACAUAGAUCACACGGGCCUCUGCUCUCAGUUAUCCUCCCACCCUGCUUCCUGAGUUCGAGGAUUACAUAUGUGCAACAUACCCAGCGUUCACUUGUAUUUUUAUUAUGCACCAGUAGCAGAUGUCUGUGGGGCAUUUUGGCAUAUAGUGUCAUCCACCUGCUUCAGGGCACUUCAGAUAGACAGCUCCACGAAUUUAGCCAACCUCUGUUUUCUUUCUUUUUUUGGUUCUUUUUUUUUUUUUUUUCCGGAGGUGGGGACCGAACCCAGGGCCUUGCGCUUCCUAGGUAAGCGCUCUACCACUGAGCUAAAUCCCCAGCCCCCCAACCUCUGUUUUCAAGCUAACAUGGGAACACCUCUGCUUUCUCUAAGACAGGAAAAGGCCACUGUGCCAGAUUCAGGUACAACAUGAAAAAACAUGGAUGUUAACAUGCCCAGGAGCAAUGCUCACCUAACAGAGAGUGAGACCCAGGGUUAGGCAUGGCAGCCCCUAGCCUGUAGUAAUGGUUCUCCAGGGUUUCAUAUGAGAUCCUAGCAGCACUAAGUCUCAGUUGCCCUCAGUGGUAACAGGUUUAGGACUAUACCUUGUGUCUCAUUGCUGUGAAGAGACACCAUGACCCUAGCAAUUCUUACACAGGAAAACAUUCAACUGGGACUGGCUUGCAGUUUCAAAGGUUUAGUCCAUUAUCAUAAUGGUGGGGAGCAUGGCAGCGUGCAGGCAGACAUGGUGCUGGGGAGGAGGCUGCGAGUUCUACAUCUUGAUCUGAAGGCAGCAGAAGGAGGCUGUGACACACUGGGCACAGCGUGAACAUAGGAGACCUUAAAGCCUAUGCCCCAGUGAUACACUUCUUCCAACAAGGCCACGCCUCUUAAGAGUGCCACUCUCUAUGGGCCAAGCAUUCGAGCAUGAGUCUAAGGGGCCAUUCCUAUUCAAACCACCAUGCAUUGUCUUAGCUUUUCUCCUUUCUCUGCUUUGUUCUCCCUGCCUAUUAUUUCAACUUCCUGGGAUUACCUAUCCAAUAAUCUACCUGCAUCCACAGCCUUCCCUUGGGGUUGCCUUAGAGGGAAAUGAAAUCCUAUCGUGCUUACUGCUCACAUCCUGUGGAGCUAGCAAUCCCAGCAUGCAAGGCGGAACCUCAACAGCAAACCAGAACAGUUCAUCUGUACGCGUCUCUUCUGACCUGCGAGGGUCCUUUGGGUUGGUUGGUGACCUGCAGCAAAAACUGCCUCCGAUUAAUCGUGUCUUCUGAGACAAUGACAUGAAGGCUGCUUCUGCACAGUACUCUUGAGUGGCUGUGAGGCAAUACAUCAGGAUCUGUUUAACGAGUAUAAACACCUUCGGAACCACCGUUCUGAGGCACGUGCUGAAAGGUCUAUCUAUUUACCUAAGGGCAGGAAAGGUUGUCUGAGGUUAUCUUUCUUCUGGUUCAGGCUGAGGUCCUGGUUGUUUAUUCGAGUUCUGGAAAUAACCCUGGGACUUUAUUUAGGUGCCAAGGGAAACAUGAGGUCAGUAUACUCUGAAAACACUUUGCUAUAAGCCCCAGCAGACAUCAUGCGCACACCCAGAGGAAGACCCUGGGACCCUCCUGUACACCCAACCAAUGCCUGAUGAUUCUGGGGGAGAGGUUACAUAUUCUCUAUUGGCUAAUGGGAAUAUUAUUUUACCUGUGUUCUAAAGAGAGGCAAAAGCAAUGGUGUAGCGUUUGGGAAGAAUUUUAAUAUCUCUCUAGGAUGGUACAGAGCUUCUUCUAGUUAGAGUUUCUAUUACCAUGACCAAAAACACAGUGUUGGGGAGGAAAGGAUUUAUUCUGCUUACACUUCUAUAUCACUGCUCAUCAUCCACAGAAGUCAGGGCAGGGACUCAAACAGGGAAGAAACCUGAAGGCAGGAGCUGAUACAGAGGACACAGAGCAGUGCGGCCUACUGGCCUGCUUUUCCCUGGCUUGCUCAGCCUAUUUUUUGAUAGAACCCAGAACCAGCAGCCCAGGGAUGGCACCACCCACAAUGGGAUGGGCCCUCCCUACCAAACACUAAUAAAGAAAAUUUCUUUUUAAAAAAAAUAUUUGGCUGGGGAUUUAGCUCAGUGGUAGAGCGCUUACCUAGGAAGUGCAAGGCCCUGGGUUCGGUCCCCACCUCCGGGAAAAAAAAAAGAACCAAAAAAAAAAAUGUAAAAAAAUAUUUAUUUGUUUGUUUUGUGUAAAUACACAGUCAUUGUCUUAAGACACAUCAGAAGAGGGCAUUGGAUUCUAUUACGGAUGGUUGUGAGCCACCAUGUGGUUGCUGGGAAUUGAACUCAGGACCUCUGGAAGAGCAGUCAGUGCUCUUAACCUCUGAGCCAUCUCUCCAGUAAAAAAAGUUUCUUACUGCUGGAUCUUCCAGAGUCAUCUUCUCAAUUGAGGUUCCCUCCUUUCAGAUAACUCUGGUUCAUGUGUCAGGUUGACACGAGGUUAGCCAGCACAGAGAUCCUCUUGCAGGGUAACACGUGCCCAUUUUCUUAUGAAGUCUCCUCUACUGGGGCUGGAGAGAGCUGGAAUGAGACCCAGACCUCGGAGCAUCCUGGGCGGCCCCUUUCCAGGUGUUGAUGAAGCUGCCCUGAGAUGAAGAAAUGCCCACAGGGAGCUGAGGAGUGUUCCUGAGAACAGUAUCUUGGAGAACAGGCCAUUCGAGGAAGCGGGGCUAUGGUGCCUUCAUAAUACAGCCUCCAGUACUAUCAGGAGAUCAGAGCUGUCCUAAGCUGAGGUACGAAGUCCUUAGAUAUGGCUGCUCCAGGAAAGGCACACAGCUCCCAUGUUAAGAAAGCCUUAGGUUUGAACCUCCUAGAAGCUGGAGUUGAGUGUCUCGUUUCUAAGACCCAGAGGAAGGUUCCCUGCCUCCACUGUAACCCUUCUCUCUUCCUGCAGGGAGGUCUGUGCUGAUCUCCCAGGAAGGCUCUGCCCUAUGCUCACCUUCAGUGAUCUUCAGACUCCCCUGGCAAUAGGAAAGCGGUUUCCAUCUUACCACUGCUGGAGAUCAGCUACAGCAGAAAGCAAACUAACACAUGAAAAAUAAAACCAAAUUUGUAUUUCAACGAAUAAUUUUGUUUCAAAAGUAGAGUAUUUUAGUCUUCAAGACACAUUCAGUCACAUGGUCCUUCUUCAUCCUCAGAACCUGAGAGGUUUUCAGUUUAGUUCUUUGUGUAUGCGUGUUUUGUCUGCAUGUGUCUGUAUACCAUGUAUGUGCCCAGUUCCUGAGGAGGUCAGACGAGGGCCUCAGAUCCCCUGGAACUACAGUUACAGCAGUGGUGAGCUACCAUGAGGGUUCUGGGAACCAAAUCUAGGCUUUCAGGGAGAGCAGCUUUUAGCUCUGAAUUAUCUGUCCAGCCCACUCACAACCUGAGUGUUAACUUUUUUUUACAGUCCCACGUGGAAGAGGUUUAUUGAGGACGACGGAGACAGAAGUGGGGAGAGAGAAAGAAGGAAACGAUAAAGAGCUGGGUGUUAACAUUUAAAAGUCUCAGUUAGUUUAACCCCUAGUCCCACAAACAACAGCAAGAGAAAACACCAAACCCUUUAGGAAGGAAAAGAAAGGCCAGCCACCUCUUUAACAUACAUUCUUCUCCCUCUGACAGCAAGGAAGGGCAGGGAUGGCCGUCCACCCAGCCUGCAGCACCACCCACUGAAGGCCAAGUAUCUACUUGUUGGGUAUCCCUACACGUUUCAGUCUUCUGCUCUCUGGACUGUUUUUUUUUUCCUUUCAGGAUAUGAAGGUUUAUUUUUUUUUAAAAGAUUACAUUAAAAAAAAAACCAGAAUUCACAGAAA